AUCAUGGCUCAGGAUGAACGCUAGCUACAGGCUUAACACAUGCAAGUCGAGGGGCAGCAUUUUAGUUGCUUGCAAAACUGAAGAUGGCGACCGGCGCACGGGUGAGUAACACGUAUCCAACCUGCCGAUAACUCCCGGGGAUAGCCUUUCGAAAGAAAGAUUAAAUACCGGAUAGCAUACGAAUAUCGCAUGAUAUUUUUAUUAAAGAAUUUCGGUUAUCGAUGGGGAUGCGUUCCAUAGUUUGG
rnacentral:rRNA from 1 species